rnacentral:misc_RNA from 1 species
CAUAUGCAAGCAUACCCAUUGCUGAGAAAGGAACUGGUUGUUUGGCUUGGUAUGGAGAUUUAAUGGACAUAAUAAAUCUCUCUGAUAACAGUGGUUAUGAUCUGUAUGUCCGUGUUGAUGCACUUGAAUUAGCUAAGGAUGGAACCAAAUCCAACGGUUUUCUUCAAAUGAAGGGAAUAUUGGUCGUUGUGAUACUAUCAUUCAUUUCUGCAUGGCUUGUCAUC